rnacentral:rRNA from 1 species
UACGUAGGGUGCAAGCGUUGUCCGGAAUUAUUGGGCGUAAAGAGCUCGUAGGCGGUCUGUCGCGUCGGCUGUGAAAUCCCGAGGCUCAACCUCGGGUCUGCAGUCGAUACGGGCAAACUGGAGUGUUGCAGGGGAGACUGGAAUUCCUGGUGUAGCGGUGAAAUGCGUAGAUAUCUGGAGGAACACCGGUGGCGAAGGCGGCAUCCUGGACCGGUAUUGACGCUGAGGCGCGAAAGCUAGGGGAGCAAACGGG